GCAUUAAUGGGUUAGUGGUAACCCGGGACGUUUCCAUCAACUCGCCGGGGGUUCGGUUCCCCCUCGAUGCA